CCUUGUUCAGGGGCAGAACGACAGAUUUUUACCUUGUCAUCUUGGGGAUUCAAUCUUGCAGCUUUACGGUUAAUUAGUCCAACACUCUAACCACCUGCUUUACAUUGCACUCCACGAGGAGCCUGCCUGUUACGCGAAUGCAGUAAGAAGCCAAGAAAUUACUGUAUCCAUACUAGACCUGUCUACUCACCUGGAUGUCCUUCUCCCACAGACUCAGAGGUAUCCUACUGGUUGGAGCGUUGGGCAAGUAACCGAAAGGUUCCUGGAUCAAAUCUCUGAGCUGACAAGGGGACCCUCACUUUCCUGGGAGGAUAACUGUGCCUGUGUACACAGUCAGACUCAAGUAGAGUGUUAUGCCCAGCACUGGCAGUAGCUGCUGGCAUCCAUGCUUUCUAAUGAAGACAUGCCUGACUGAAAAAAAGAAGGCAUGAUACAACAUGAUGCAAUGCAUUCAGUUGAGCAUGAAAAGAUGAACCAUCAAAUUAUUUACUGUAUUUUUAGAAUGGACAAUAAUUAAGUUAUGGAUAAAGCAUUCUUGUUAAAAAGUAAAUAAACAAGUGUCGAAGUUUCAUGUGUCUGUUGGUUUUCUUGUUACCCGUCUGCUACAAGCCAUCCCUGACUGUGGCCCAAUACUGUACACAACACAGAGUGUGUUCAGAGUUCAGGUUUCCAUAAUCAACUUUUUGCCCAA
rnacentral:lncRNA from 1 species